rnacentral:rRNA from 1 species
UACGUAGGGCGCAAGCGUUGUCCGGAAUCAUUGGGCGUACAGAGCUCGUAGGCGGCCUGUUGCGUCCGCUGUGAAAUCCCGGGGCUUAACCCCGGGCGUGCAGUGGAUACGGGCUGGCUGGAGGCAGGCAGGGGAGAACGGAAUUCCCGGUGUAGCGGUGAAAUGCGCAGAUAUCGGGAGGAACACCGGUGGCGAAGGCGGUUCUCUGGGCCUGUACUGACGCUGGGGCGCGAGAGCGCGGGGAGCGAACCGG